AAAAAAAAUAGUGAUAAGGUAAAAGUCACAAAACCUCGCUGGCUGAAAAAUAUAAGGAAUCAAAAGACAGUAUGAAUAAAGUUAUAGACGUUUCAAAC